rnacentral:lncRNA from 1 species
AUUAUAGACAUAUUGUAUCAUAUUUGCAAUUCCAAUAUGUAUGACUAAACUAAAGUUAAUUAUAACCAUUAGUAGUGCAGUGGUCAUGUGAUUUGCGAAUGAAUGUGUCGUAGAUACAAUGACAUGUUUAAUACUGAUACUAAACGUGUAUUUAUCAAAAAGUUAAAAGUCAAACGCACAUAUUCAGUCUUAACGCAGAAGAAAACGUCCAAGUUAAUGUGGCUUUUUUAAAAUAAACAUAUAAUGAGCAUGCAGGUACCUCAGAUUUGAGACGGAAUUAUAACCAAC